UGAGGAAUAUUGGUCAAUGGGCGAGAGCCUGAACCAGCCAAGUAGCGUGCAGGAUGACGGCCCUAUGGGUUGUAAACUGCUUUUAUGUGGGGAUAAAGUGCGUGACGUGUCAUGCAUUGCAGGUACCACAUGAAUAAGGACCGGCUAAUUCCGUGCCAGCAGCCGCGGUAAUACGGAAGGUCCAGGCGUUAUCCGGAUUUAUUGGGUUUAAAGGGAGCGUAGGCUGUUUGUUAAGCGUGUUGUGAAAUGUAGGAGCUCAACUUUUAGAUUGCAGCGCGAACUGGCAGACUUGAGUGCGCACAACGUAGGCGGAAUUCAUGGUGUAGCGGUGAAAUGCUUAGAUAUCAUGACGAACUCCGUUUGCGAAGGCAGCUUACGGGAGCGCAACUGACGCUAAAGCUCGAAGGUGCGGGUAUCGAACAGG
rnacentral:rRNA from 1 species